UACGUAGGGGGCAAGCGUUGUCCGGAAUCAUUGGGCGUAAAGAGCGUGUAGGCGGCCCGAUAAGUCCGCUGUGAAAGUCCAGGGCUCAACCCUGGAAUGCCGGUGGAUACUGUCGGGCUCGAGUUCGGAAGAGGUGAGUGGAAUUCCUGGUGUAGCGGUGAAAUGCGCAGAUAUCAGGAGGAACACCGGUGGCGAAGGCGGUUCUCUGGGCCUUACCUGACGCUGAGGAGCGAAAGCGUGGGGAGCGAACAGG
rnacentral:rRNA from 1 species